CAUUACUAAACAGAUUCUCAAAGUAUUAACUAAACCCAAUUCGAGUUAUCAAAUUUAAAUAUCUUUAGUGAGCUAAAUACUGACCACACUAUCAACGCUAUUGUACCACGAAGAGGUGAAUCUUUGCCAAAGGUAGACCAAAAAAAUUCUCACGAACAUAGUCGCAUCAGCAAUCCUAGUGGAAACUUCAAAAAUAAUCCUGCAGGGUACAUUUUGUGAUGGUGCAAAUGGGGUUUUCAAAGACACAUUGCAAGUAGACCUUCACUUGAAUUGAGGGUUUGAUCACUCAACUCAAUAUUUACCAUAGACUCAAUUCAGAGACUGUAAUUUCUACACAUCUGAUGCAGCAAACUUUCCUCCCUAGCAACCACACACUCAGGCUGAGGGAUA
rnacentral:sRNA from 1 species